rnacentral:rRNA from 1 species
GGUCAAGUUAUUAAGGGUGCAGGGCGGAUGCCUUGGCACCGGGAGCCGAUGAAGGACGUGAUAAGCUGCGAUAAGCUAUGGGGAGUUGCACGUAAACUUUGAUCCAUAGAUUUCCGAAUGAGGAAACUCACCAUGAGUAAUGUCAUGGUAUCUUCGAGUGAAUACAUAGCUCGUUGAGGGGAACUCGGGGAACUGAAACAUCUAAGUACCCGAAGGAAGAGAAAGAAAUUCGAUUCCGCUAGUAGCGGCGAGCGAACGCGGAACAGCCCAAACCUAAGAAGUUCGCUUCUUAGGGGUUGCGGACAUAUCAUCAGGAAGAGGUUAUUACAGACGAAGAGUUUUGGAAAGCUCCGCCACAGAAGGUAACAGCCCUGUAGUCGAAGUGAGAAGACUUCCGAUAUGAUCCAGAGUACCACGGGACACGUGAAACCCCGUGGGAAGCAGGAGGGACCACCCUCCAAGGCUAAAUACUACCCGGUGACCGAUAGCGCAUAGUACCGUGAGGGAAAGGUGAAAAGAACCCCGGGAGGGGAGUGAAAUAGAACCUGAAACCCUGUACUUACAAACUGUGGAAGCACAUUUCUUGUGUGACCGCGUACUUUUUGUAGAACGGGCCAACGAGUUACGUUAUGCAGCAAGGUUAAGUACUUCAAGUAUGCAGCCGCAGCGAAAGCGAGUUUUAACUGAGCGUUUAGUUGCAUGACGUAGACCCGAAACCGGGUGACCUAUCCAUGAGCAGGUUGAAGCGAAAGUAAAAUUUCGUGGAGGACCGAACCCACGAGCGUUGAAAAGCUCGGGGAUGACUUGUGGAUAGCGGUGAAAUUCCAAUCGAACCCGGAGAUAGCUGGUUCUCCCCGAAAUAGCUUUAGGGCUAGCCUCAGAUUCAGAGAUACGGAGGUAGAGCACUGAAUGUCCUAGGGGGUAUUGCACCUACCGAAGACUAUCAAACUCCGAAUGCCGUCAUCUUUUAUCUGGGAGUCAGACCGUGGGUGAUAAGAUUCACGGUCGAGAGGGCAACAGCCCAGACCGUCGGCUAAGGUCCCCAAAUGUAGGUUAAGUGGUAAAGGAUGUGGGAUUGCACAGACAACCAGGAUGUUGGCUUAGAAGCAGCCACUCAUUCAAAGAGUGCGUAAUAGCUCACUGGUCGAGUGAUCCUGCGCCGAAGAUUUCCGGGGCUAAAACCUACUACCGAAGCCACGGCAUCAUUUAUGAUGGGUAGGGGAGCUUUCUUUACUGGGCAGAAGCAUGACCGUAAGGACAUGUGGACUGUAAAGAAGUGAGAAUGUUGGCAUGAGUAGCGAGAUGUGGGUGAGAAUCCCACAGGCCGUAAACCCAAGGUUUCCAGGGGAAGGUUCGUCCUCCCUGGGUUAGUCGGGACCUAAGCCGAGGCCGAAAGGCGUAGGUGAUGGACAACAGGUUGAAAUUCCUGUACCGCCAAUAAGCGUUUGAGAAAUGGGAUGACACAGUAGGACAGGAUGAGCGUGCUGUUGGUUAUGCACGUCCAAGCACUGAGGCAGUAUCCGGAGGCAAAUCCACGGAUAUAAUGCUGGGGUGUGACGGGGAGCGAAAUUUAGUAGCGAAGCAUCUGCAUUCACACUGUCGAGAAAAGUCUCUAUCGAGUUUAAAGGCGCCCGUACCGCAAACCGACACAGGUGGGUGAGGAGAGUAUCCUAAGGCCAGCGAGAGAACUGUUGUUAAGGAACUCGGCAAAAUGACCCCGUAACUUAGGGAUAAGGGGUGCCAUCGAAAGAUGGCCGCAGAGAAUAGGCCCAAGCGACUGUUUACCAAAAACAUAGGUUUCUGCUAAGUCGCAAGACGAUGUAUAGGAGCUGACGCCUGCCCGGUGCUGGAAGGUUAAGGGGAUCUGUUAGAGCAAUCGAAGCAGUGAACUUAAGCCCCAGUAAACGGCGGCCGUAACUAUAACGGUCCUAAGGUAGCGAAAUUCCUUGUCGGGUAAGUUCCGACCCGCACGAAAGGCGUAACGAUUUGGGCACUGUCUCAACAACAGACUCGGUGAAAUUGUAAUUCCGGUGAAGAUGCCGGAUACCUGCGACAGGACGGAAAGACCCCAUGGAGCUUUACUGUAGCUUGGCAUUGGGUCUUGGUACUACAUGUACAGCAUAGGUGGGAGGCUUUGAUUCCAGGACGCCAGUUUUGGAUGAGCCACCGUUGGGAUACCACCCCUGUAGUACUGGGACUCUAACCAGAGGCCUUGAAUCAGGUCUUGGGACACUGUCAGGCGGGCAGUUUGACUGGGGCGGUCGCCUCCCAAAAGGUAACGGAGGCGCUCAAAGGUUCUCUCAGCACGGUCGGAAAUCGUGCAUAGAGUGUAAAGGCAUAAGAGAGCUUGAUUGCAAGACAUACAGGUCGAGCAAGGACGAAAGUCGGACUUAGUGAUCCGGUGGUUCUGAGUGGAAGGGCCAUCGCUCAACGGAUAAAAGCUACCCUGGGGAUAACAGGCUUAUCUCCCCCAAGAGUCCACAUCGACGGGGAGGUUUGGCACCUCGAUGUCGGCUCAUCACAUCCUGGGGCUGUAGUAGGUCCCAAGGGUUGGGCUGUUCGCCCAUUAAAGUGGUACGCGAGCUGGGUUCAGAACGUCGUGAGACAGUUCGGUCCCUAUCCGUCGCAGGCGUAGGAAAUUUGAGAGGAUCUGCCCUUAGUACGAGAGGACCGGGGUGGACGUACCGCUGGUGUACCAGUUGUCUCGCCAGAGGCAUGGCUGGGUAGCUAUGUACGGAACGGAUAAGCGCUGAAAGCAUCUAAGCGCGAAGCCAGCCUUAAGAUAAGAUUUCCCAUUCUUCGGAAGUAAGACCCCAUGAAGACUACGUGGUUGAUAGGUCGGAGGUGGAAGUGUAGUAAUGUAUGCAGCUUACCGAUACUAAUAGGUCGAGGACUUGACCAA